rnacentral:rRNA from 1 species
UAGAUGCGAGAGUAGAGCAUAUCAAUAAGCGGAGGAAAAGAAACUAACAAGGAUUCCCUUAGUAACGGCGAGUGAAGCGGGAAGAGCUCAAAUUUGAAAUCUUCAAGGUUCUACCUUGACGAAUUGUAGUUUAAAGAAGUGUUUUCUGUUAGAUGAGUAGCAAAAGUUCCUUGGAAUGGGACGUCAUAGAGGGUGAGAAUCCCGUAUUUGGUUAUUCAUUCUAGCUUUGUGAUACACUUUCAAAGAGUCGGAUUGUUUGGGAAUGCAGUCCAAAAUGGGUGGUAAAUUUCAUCUAAAGCUAAAUAUUGGCGAGAGACCGAUAGCGAACAAGUACCGUGAGGGAAAGAUGAAAAGAACUUUGAAAAGAGAGUUAAACAGUACGUGAAAUUGUCAAAAGGGAAGCGUUUGACACCAGUGUUGUUUUUCCGAAAAUCAAUUACGAAUGGCUUGAUUUUGUGUUGUAUUGACCUUAUCAGCUUUCUGCACUUUUUUCGAGUCUUUCUUAAUGCACUUUUCGGUUAACAAGUCAACAUCAAUUUCUUUUGUUGUAAAAGAGUAUUCGGAAGGUGGCUUUCUUUUCGGAGAAAGUGUUUAUAGCCCUAUACUUCUACAAUCGGAGAGAUUGAGGUCUGCAGCGUAGAUCCUUCGGGGUUAGAUACAUUUGUGCUAAGUUGUAGCUUUUCAUAGACAACUUGUUGACUAUGUUUAGUCAUGCGGCUUACUCGCUUAUGCUAUUAUACCUACGCUUAGGAUGUUGAGCGCAUGUCUCUCUCU